CUGGGCAGACGGGCAGUCGCUGACUGGUUCCCCUCUUUACGGGGGUGCUGGUUGGAGGAAAGUCCGGUCUCCAUAGGGCAGCAUGCCGGCUAACGGCCGGGGGGGUUCGCUCAAAGCGGAUUUCACGGACAGUGCCACAGAAAAUAUACCGCCUCCUUGUGAGGUAAGGGUGAAAAGGUGCGGUAAGAGCGCACCGCGUGCGGAGUAAUCCGCACGGCAGGGAAAACCCCAUGCGGAGCAAGACCAAAUAGGGGAGGAGGAGCGGCCCGUUCCGUUCAACUUCCGGGUAGGUUGCUAGAGCCAGGCAGUAAUGUCUGGCCCAGAGGAAUGACUGCCACCUCGCCGAUCCGGCGGGGUACAGAAACCGGCUUACAGUCUGCGCAGGCUC
rnacentral:RNase_P_RNA from 1 species